ACGACUACAUAUCAGGCAUAUCAAUAAGCGGAGGAAAAGAAACUAACUAGGAUUCCCUCAGUAACGGCGAGUGAAGCGGGAAGAGCUCAAAUUUGAAAUCUUCAAGGUUCUACCUUGACGAAUUGUAGUUUAAAGAAGUGUUUUCUGUUGGAGUUUUGGUAAAAGUUCUUUGGAAUAGGACAUCAUAGAGGGUGAGAAUCCCGUAUUUGACCAUUAUUUCCAGCUUUGUGAUACACUUUCAAAGAGUCGGAUUGUUUGGGAAUGCAGUCCAAAAUGGGUGGUAAAUUUCAUCUAAAGCUAAAUAUUGGCGAGAGACCGAUAGCGAACAAGUACCGUGAGGGAAAGAUGAAAAGAACUUUGAAAAGAGAGUUAAACAGUACGUGAAAUUGUCAAAAGGGAAGCGUUUGACACCAGUGUUGUUUUCUCGAAAAUCAAUUAAAAAAAGUUGGAUUUUGUGUUGUAUUGACCUUAACAGCUUGCUUCACUCUUUUCCAGCUUUUUUUAAUGCACUUUUCGUUUAACAAGUCAACAUCAAUUUCUUUUGUUGUAAAAGGGUCAUUGGAAGGUGGCUUUCUCUUCGGAGAAAGUGUUUAUAGCCUUUGAUCUCUGCAAUCGGAGAGAUUGAGGUCUGCAGCGUAGAUCCUUCGGGGCUAGAUACAUUUGUGCUAAGCUACUAGCUUUCAUAGACAACUUGUUGACUAUGAUUAGUCAUGUAGCUUACCUCGCUGCUGCUAUUUUACCUACGCUUAGGAUGUUGAGCGCAUGUCUCUCUCU
rnacentral:rRNA from 1 species